UUCAUGUGGCUUUCAAUUGAACUGCUUUCAAGUGAACUGCUUUUAUUUUUCCAUCUUCCUAACCUUUUCCUCUUGGUUCCUUCUUCUUUCGUUUCAGAACCAUCAGACUCAGAGUUUUCUAUACUGGCUGUGGGGUUCCUGAAAUGACAUCACUAGAGGCAGAGCUGCAGCUGCUGACAUUAGAGGUACAUUCAUUCAGAGAAUAAUCCAAUACUGAAGUCUCCCCUGGAUCUGAUUUAGGAGCACAUGUUUCCAAUUUCUCACAAUUUGGAUCUAAGCUUUGUUUACCAAAAGUGGUAAGCUGUUCAGCAUUGGUGGAAUUAUUCUUCUCUGGAAGUACAUCUGUCUUCCCACUUUCAGUUACUUCAUGGGCAAUGCCAAGCAAGUCACUUGCUGCUUUUUCAUCCUGCAUUGAAAAAAGCUUGGUGUCAUUAUACAUUAUAUUGACUAUACUGCUUACUUCACAUCCUACCUUUCCUCGAAGCUCAAGGCAGUAUUAUGUGCCAAUUCUAGGCAUCUAUACAGCCAGAUCUCUUUAACUUCAGUAAAGUUACUACAGCAUGCACCUUCAGGUCAUAUCCUUGUCUAACCGUUAUCGGAAAGAAAGGAAGGAAGGAAAAGUCUUAUCACUAAAUCACUGGAUACUUUUCCUGUUAUUUUACCAGAAUUGCAAGCAUUACAAUUUACGUUUUGCAAUUCCAGAAUUUUUCUCCAGAUAAGAACAUGCAGGAAAAUCAAGCAAAACCUGUGCAAGGGGGGGGGGGGUUAAGUUGACAAUUCCAAUUAUUCACUAAAACAGUUUGCCACCUUCAAAAAUCUAGUCAUUUGUUGCAACUAGAAACUGGUAACAGUCCUUCAAGUAUAGACUAUGCACUUUCUAUAAUGGAAGGCCUGAAGCCAGAAGCAACCCAUACAUCCCAAGGCACCAUGGCAGGGUCCAGAUAGGCUUAUGCCUUCACUCUAAAUUCAAAAAGGAAGUCAAAGCCAUCCAAUGUACUUCAAUAAUGUUUCAGAUGUCAAUAUAAACCUUUUUGUGGCUGUUACUUUGACACCUGGAUGUGUCAGCAGCUACAUGUGCUUUACUCCAGCAAUAUGCUGGAUUUUUUUAAAAUGUCAUUACUAUCAAUUCCCAACAACUGUCAACAUAUGAAGAUACCUGGGGUAUUGUUUUGUUCUCUUCCCUCUCAGAUUCUUCCACAGAGGCUGGUUUAUCCCUAAAAUAAAGGCAACUUACUUAGAUGCACAGAAAACUCAAACAUUUUACAUUUCAAAGCACUGUUGGUCCCUAAUACUUACGGAUAAUCUUCCUGGCUCUGUGAAUAUUGGGAAAACAAGGUAGUAUCUUGGGAUGCAUCAAGAUUAUUGUACAUUGUAGGAAUAUCAAUCCUGCAAAAAAUAGAACUGGUCAACAUUCCAAUAAAAUGAGUAGUCCUAAUACAUUUGAUACAGAAUGGCAUUUUAAGCUAGCAGCUGUUCAAAUUUGAAGGCUUGCCCUAGGGCCUGUGUAGGAACCAUUCUACCCAGGGGUUGCACAGUGAGCUCCCUUAUUGGUUACUGAACUAACUGGGCAGAGGAAGUGUGACCAACUUGGAAGCUCUUCUUCUGCCAGCUCUUGGCAAUGAAGGAGACGAGCUACCUAGAAAGUUUCAGACCUGGGUGGCACACAGAAAAGGUGCAUUUCCUGACUCUUAAGUUACAAACCUUUUAGUUCUUAGCACUUCUUUUUGGUGCUCUGUCAACACUCUCUCUUUUGUUUCUGGAGGAAUAAUCACGAAGUCAACAGUAUUUUCCUCUUCCAGGAGCAAGUUUUUUCGAUUUGUCUUUGUCAGCGAGUUUUCUAGUUUCAUCUGCUGCAUGAGAAAAAGUAAAAAUAAAGAGUGUAGAUAAUUUGCUGCUUAUGAACAGUAACAGUGCAUAUCAGACAAUGCUGUAAACCUUGCACUGUGGCUGAGUGAAAAUGGCUUCUGCUCACACUUGGGGAGACAAAUGGAUUCUGCCUAUAAUCAAUUGCAAAUUCCACCGCAAUCUUCCAGUGAGCCCCAUGAUUCAGCUCUCCUUAUCAACAAGAAAAAUAAUUGAUGCUUAGAAUAGAAAAAAACUGGGUAUUAUUGCUGGAGAUGUAAGUGCCAAUAAGAAACAAUUUCAGUUAACAAUUCCAUUUAAUGAACUGAUGUCUUACCUUUGCAGGUGUUACGGGGGAAUUAAUACUUUUCGGCUUUAGUUCAUUGGUCUGUGCCAGCAGGGAGUCUCUUUUCCCACUAGGAUUUACUUCUAUUCCACUUAUCUUUGCAUCCCACUGGGAAUUCUCUGUUUGCUGUAACAAAAUUAAAAUUUAAUAGGAGUAAUAUAACACCUUAAUUGAGUUCUUACUGUAGUUCUUACUAUUAAACUACAAUUUAAUAAGAGCAAUGUAAUAUUACCACAGAAUGGCUGGGCUAACCCAGUCAGAUGGGUGGCAUAUAAAUAAAUUUAUUAUUAUUAUUUCUUAAUAGUAAUAACUACAGUAAGAACUCAAUUAAGUGAACCAUCAGUUGCUUUUUAAUGAAAAAUAACCCAAAGUGACUUACAAAAAUAGUACAUAACUGUCGAACAACAUUAAACUAAAACAAAGUGAAAGCUAAAAACACAUUCAUAGAAGGGCAGGACUAAGAAAGCCCAUCACUGGAUGAGGCCAAAGAUAAUUAAAGGCCAAAUUUGGUGGAAAAGAAAUUUUAUUGCUUGCCAAGUUGAGAGCAAUUCAUAAAUGGGGACCCACCACGGAGGGGGCCCGUUAUCAUACCGACACCCUCUGCAUCUCCCUUGGAGGGACACACAGAGAAUGAAGAUGAAUGAAGGGUCAGUCAGUUCAUGUGGGAAGAAGAGGUCCUAUUAAGAUUGUCAGAAGUGCUGUCAACUAAGUUUCUCCUCAGAUUUAUCUGCAACUACCUUUCAUAAAAAAAACCAGCACACUCCUACUUUAGCAAUUGUAAGCUGAAUGAAGGUGUGCAUUUUGACCUAUUUACUCUGAAAAAUAAAAAGGUUUACUACAACCAAUACCAAAUCCUAAUACUUACAGAAUCAGAGUAUGUCCCGUUACAUUCUCCCACUAUGUCCGUGUUUUCAAAGCCAGGCAACGAGAGUAAAUUUUUUUGCUUGGCUUGGCACAAAACACAUCUGCAGGGAAGCAAUCAUGGAAGUUGCAUUUAAAAACUUUGAAUCUGAUAUUCAGACUUUGAACUAUUAGUUUUUAGCACAAUGUUUACACUUGAAAACUUAUAAGCACAAGAAUGCAGCUUUGGGUUGCUAUCUACAAUGCAUUUUCAAGAUGAUGCAGCUUUGUAUUCUAUAUUCAAACCCAAACAUUAUGCAAAACUUUCACCUGUUUUGAUUAUCUGUAAAUGGUCUAUACUAGUUUAUUGUGUGAAACACCAAGCAAAAUAUGAAAUUCUGGAGGACAAACAAUACUAUUACUUAUACCAAAAUCUUUUGCUUCCAUUGUACAAGUUACUUCAUUAAAGAGUGCAUUGAAUCCCAAAUCGGAAGUAAUUAGCAGUCAGUCAACAUCAACCUUUGCCCAACCAAAAAGAACCACUAGAAGGUACCUGGUAUUUAUAAGCUUGACCAGAGGAGUGAUAGAAAAAAGGAGAAAGCAGUUCUAGUCCAAAAGUUCCAUUCAAAGGUGCUGUUGUCCUUACAUUAAAUUUUGUACAGGAAGGCCUACACAAGAGGCAGGGUUAAGCCACCCUUUUCUCUACCCAUUCUUCUGCUCAGAUUUGCAGCGGCUAAAGAGUUCUUCUGGUUUUUAAUUAAAGGAACUGGCAAAGUGACACAACUCCAAGUCAGGACAGCUAUGAUAUAGUUGCUUUCAUAUGCAUAUACCGUUUUUCAAAUUCCCCCAACAAAAUGCUUCCAAUAGAAGUGCUUCAUGUUUAGCAGACUGGGAAAUGGAUAAGAAUGCUUUUAAGACUGGCUGGGAGCUGGGGUGGGGGCUCUACACAAGUAAAUGAGUUUGUCCACAAGUCUAUAGCUACAAAAUUCUUACUUUAAUUCUUCUGGGUAUGUCAGCACUACAGCUUUACCAAAUGUUGCAUUCCAGAACUGAGCUGCUUGACUACGUAGCUGUUUAUUCUUGUGCAAAAGCAUUAUGCACAGCAAUGGAGAAAGCUCUUGCAGCAGCUCACUGUCAAAGGAUCCAGCAUAGAAGGACUGAAAACAACUAAUACUUUCCGCCAAUAACUUUUCAAACUGGAAAAUAGAAUAAAAAAAUGUAUCAAAAAUGUUAUAACUGCAAAAGGUGUUAACAGCACAUAAUGUCUACUUGGUUACAAUGUACAACUUAAAGCAAGAAGGCCAAUAAUAUAAGGAAGUUUUUGGAACGCUGUUUACAGACCCAGAGCCCUAUCCUCUAGGCUAGAUGGCAUAGGACAGGGGUCUCUAAACUUACCCGACCGGAGGGUGGGGGAGCGCGAGUGAGCGAGCGCACACCCAUAUGCGUGCACGACUUCCAGGUGGGAGGAGCGUCGGGAAUAGCUUGUGCGCAUGAGCGUCCUACGACCCAGAAGUGCGCCGGAAAUGACACUAGCGCAUGUGCGCAAGCUAUUUCCGCCACACAUCCGACGCGGAAGUGGGCAGCUGCACCGCGCCGCUAAGAGCAAACGGCAGAGUCGUCGUGGAGUAAAAGAGGCCUUCGGGCCAUAUCCGGCCCACGGGCCUUAGUCUGGGGCCCCUGGCAUAGGAGAUCAUGGCAAAAUCCUACACUAGACCCAAAUAAUGCACAAUGAAGCAAUUAUUGCACUGAUUAGGCAAUUCCUUGCCGGGGUUAGUCAUGCAACACCCACAUAAUUAUGAGGAAGGCAAGUCUGUGGUAGUACAACAGAGAUGCUGGUACAACACACACACACACACACACACACUAUACACUAUGUGCAAGGGCAGCUCCUUUUAUGGAAUUAUGGUACUAGGCUGCAUGGUAUUAAAAAACGUUGUAUUCAAGGGACAGAAAAGCUUCCCACCACCCCCAGUCCAAAUUACCUUGUUGUUGAGCCCAUUGGUCACUUUAGACGCAUUAGUGGACCUGAUGGGGGAAAGGAGAUAACUGAUGAGUAUUGAUAUAAGGAAUAACCUCUGCUUCUUUAUUUCCUGGUUACAGCAUUCAUAUCCCCUUAGCCAAAAAAAGCUCUGGGAGUAGCUUACCAAAAAAAAAAAAACUAAAAAAAAUUUAAGACUAUGCCUGCCCUCAGGCUUUCAAUUAGUCUUAAAAAUA